GGGGCGGAGGGGAGCGAGAAGGGAGAGGGAAGGAGGUCGUGGACGGACGACGCGACCGGCAGGAAGAAGGAAGAUGGAAACGGGAGGUACGGUGAAAAUUUGAGCUGUUGGUGUGGUGUGUGUGUGUAGAGAAUUUUGUGCAGGUGCGGCGUCGGCAAUGGCGCGACGGAGUGGAGCAGUGAAGGUAGGCCGUAAGCGUGGGGUUGUCCCGCGCGCUCACGGAGGUGAUCGGGGAAGGAAUGGAAAGUAUGGCGGUGUUGGAGGCGUGUGGGGAGCCGUGGGGAAGGAUGGGGGUGGUGCGGGUAGAACAGAGUGAGGAGGAUGUGAGAGAAUAAUCUAGGAGGCGCGGGUGGGAUAAAAACUCAAGAGAACAGAAGAGGUGUGUGCGUGGUGUGUGCGUGGGUGAGGAUGUGGAGGGAGUCGCUAAUAGGCGGUGAUGUGUUUCCCCGAAAUGCACGGUGGUGAGGGCGUGUAUGUGGUGUGAAACGGUGCAAGCUGAGAGGUUAAUCGCCCUAGGUAGGCAAAAGUGUAUAGGAACCGGGAGGAGGCAGGAGGAUGGGGGAGGUAGCGGGUAGGGGGCAGUGGGAGAGGGAAGGGAGCUGGAAGGUACGGCAGUGGGGACUAGGAAACCGGAUUUGAGGGGGAUUGGAUGGGAGAAGGGGAGUAAUGUGGUCAGUAGGAGUUAGCAAGUUAGAACGCUUGGGACUAGCAUGGUAUAAGGAGAGAUGGGAGCAUGCGGUUUGGGAGGGGGAAUUGGGAGGCCGUUGGUAGGGGAGGGUGGAGUUGCCGAUGUUGGUGGAGCAGGGAGGGGAUAUGUAUGUGAGUGUGGCCUAGCAAGGCCGAGAGGGGUAGAAGGGUGCAUGAGUCACGGAUGGUGGUGACGGGAGGUGGAAAUGUUGUGUGUGUGCGUGGCCCAACGAGGUCGAGAGAUGGAGGAGUGAGUAUGAGUCGCCGAUGUUGGUGACGCGAGACGAUGGUAUUUGUGUGUGUGUGUGUGGCCUCUUUAGGUCGAGAGGUGGAGGAUUGAGCAUGAGUCGCCGAUGUUUGUGACGCGAGACGAUGGUAUUUGUGUGUGUGUGUGGCCUCUUUAGGUCGAGAGGUGGAGGAUUGAGCAUGAGUCGCCGAUGUUGGUGACGCGAGACGAUGGUAUUUGUGUGUGAGUGUGGCCUCUUUAGGUCGAGAGGUGGAGGAUUGAGCAUGAGUCGCCGAUGUUGGUGACGCGAGACGAUGGUAUUUGUGUGCGUGUGUGGCCUCUUUAGGUCGAGAGGUGGAGGAUUGAGCAUGAGUCGCCGAUGUUGGUGACGCGAGACGAUAGUAUUUGUGUGUGUGUGUGGCCUCUUUAGGUCGAGAGGUGGAGGAUUGAGCAUGAGUCGCCGAUGUUGGUGACGCGAGGCGAUGGUAUUCGUGUGUGUGUGUGGCCUCUUUGGGUCGAGAGGUGGAGGAGUGAGUGUGAGUCGCCGAUGUUGGUGACGCGGAAUAAUGGUGUGUGGGUGGGUGCGUGGCCUAUUAGGUCGAGAGGUGGAGAUAUGGGUAUGAGUCGCCGAUAUUGGUGACGUGGAAUGAAGGUGGUUGGUCGGGGUUUGCAGCGAUAACUUGGUGGAGUAAGAACGGAAUUGGGAUCCGAGCGGCUGGUAACGGAGCCCCGUCGGUAGUGCCAUAGGGCACAAGUUUUGUUUGUGAUUUAAAGUAGUUUGAAAGGAUGGUUUAGUCUGGAUAUUGAAUAUCUAGGAAUGUUUGAUAUUGUAUUACUAUGUGCUGUAGAGGUGGAGAUGUAUGUACAAUUGAUUUGGAACAUGGAAGGUGGACCAAUUUCUCUUGUGCAUGGUUGGAAUAAUAUGGAUUUCGGUAUUGUGUUGUAUGAGUGCUUUAUCGUACACCGUUAAGAAAAAAAAAACGGGGUGUUACAGUUGGUAUCAGAGCAAAACUAAGUAUACCUACUAACUGGUAUAACUAUCCUGCAG
rnacentral:lncRNA from 1 species